CAGUUUUUUUGCUCUUAUGUGAUCUGCAAAUAUUGGCCAUAUCUGCAGAGAGUUGUGGACCACUGUCCAGAGUUGGAGGACUUGCUGAACAUGCGCCCAUUUCUCUCCAUCAUGCAUGCAAAAGCGCAUUCAUGGAUGUGUGAGUUAAAAUGGGGUGGACGCAAUCAAGAAGGAGCUGGAACAACAAUCGGGGAGGAGGUUGAACAGGUUAACAGUUUCCUCUCCAGAGCAGCCAUAUGUUCCAAGUACAUGUCAAAAGCCGACUGUACAAAGGAUCACAGAGGCAUCAAAGGACCUGGAGAAACUCAUCACUGAGUUAUCUCUACAGCAAGACACAGUUCAGCAGUGGGUGGCUGAUGUUCAACAGUGGCCCUCAGGUGGGAAUAAGCGAAGGCAUCAACUGAGAAGACAGAUUGUUGUUGAGAAGAAAGCCUUGGAAGUUGCCAUCAAUGACCACAAUGCUACUGUGGGGGAAGAUGAAAAACUGCCUCCUCCCAAUGAACUCCUGGCUGUGGACAACUACUCCUGGCCAUGGGAAUGUCAUGGUGAUAUGGAGCAGAAAAAAAAUGUU